UACGGGGGGUGCGAGCGUUGUCCGGAAUCACUGGGCGUAAAGAGCUCGUAGGCGGCUUGUUGCGUCAGCUGUGAAAACCCGCAGCUCAACUGUGGGCUUGCAGCUGAUACGGGCAGGCUUGAGUUCGGUAGGGGAGACUGGAAUUCCUGGUGUAGCGGUGAAAUGCGCAGAUAUCAGGAGGAACACCGGUGGCGAAGGCGGGUCUCUGGGCAUUAACUGACGCUGAGGAGCGAAAGCAUGGGGGAGCGAACAGG
rnacentral:rRNA from 1 species